rnacentral:rRNA from 1 species
GACGAACGCUGGCGGCGUGCUUAACACAUGCCAGUCGAACGGAAAGGCCCUGCUUUUGUGGGGUGCUCGAGUGGCGAACGGGUGAGUAACACGUGAGUAACCUGCCCUUGACUUUGGGAUAACUUCAGGAAACUGGGGCUAAUACCGGAUAGGAGCUCCUGCUGCAUGGUGGGGGUUGGAAAGUUUCGGCGGUUGGGGAUGGACUCGCGGCUUAUCAGCUUGUUGGUGGGGUAGUGGCUUACCAAGGCUUUGACGGGUAGCCGGCCUGAGGGGGUGACCGGCCACAUGGGGACUGAGGUACGGCCCAGACUCCUACGGGAGGCAGCGGUGGGGAAUAUUGCACAAUGGGCGGAAGCCUGAUGAAGCAACGCCGCGUGCGGGAUGACGGCCUUCGGGUGGUAAACCGCUUUCGCCUGUGACGAAGCGUGAGUGACGGUAAUGGGUAAAGAAGCACCGGCUAACUACGUG